GCCGGGCGCGGUGGCUCACGCCUGUAAUCCUAGCACUUUGGGAGGCCGAGGCAGGCGGAUCAUCUGAGGUCAGGAGUUCUAGACCAGCCUGGCCAACAUGGUGAAACCCCGUCUCUA
rnacentral:SRP_RNA from 2 species